GUAUGAUUCCAGCAGUUGUGGGGAGAUUAGCUCCCUGCUCAGCCUCUCUGAUACAACUGGGCAGCUAGUUUUUGCUUCUGCAACAAGACAUAGGUUUAUGAUGAGCUUCCUGUUCAUCUCUGCUGAAACUAGGGAAAGUGGUUCUAGGUUGGAGGCGUUAGCAGCAUUUUGGCUGGGGUAUAUGGGAGGCAAUAUGGAAACCAUCAAACUUGUUCUCACGUCAUUCUGCAAGUCCUGGUGUCCUGAGACUGGGGCAAUGAGUUUGGAUGAAGAACAGAACAGAGGUAAAGGGCCCUGUCAUCACAUCACAUGAGAAAGUCCAUGUUAUCAACAUGACAUCACUGGUGGUGCUAGCCAUGAUCACUGGGUGUGCUGAAGCCCUAUCCCCAAGAUGACUAUAUUUGGAGACAGGAUUUUUGGAGGAAUAUUUCAUCUUUUGGUUUAGAAAUUCAAAGCAUUCAAGUUUAUUAAGGUAAAUAAUACAUUUUUAACGUUACCUUCAUUGUAUUUUUUCUCAAGUGAUGUGUUAAAUUUAAAUGAUAAAUUUGUCUUUCUAGAAAUAUAUUUUGUUCUGGGUUAUUAUGGAAUUUCCAUUAUAGUAUCGUUCUUCAAAUAAAUUUAUAACUAUUACUCUUACUCAAAUUUUAGUUAUAAUUAUCCACCAUAAACAUUUCAAACUAAUAACUCACCAUUUAUUUCUAUGAAGUCUCCUUUCUUCUGUCUUUAAUGUCUGGUCUCAUUUUUCAUUGAAAUGUAGCAUGUACCCAAAUAUUUUCAUCUGCUAGGACAUAAAGAUUAAAUACCCUCUGACUCCUUGAAUGAAAAUAAUAUAUAGGGCAACUCACACGUUACCAUUUUGGACCAAGGUAAUGACUAGCCACAUACAAAAAGUAAACAAUACGAAAUAAAACAAGCAGGAAAUUACUAAUCAAUAGGCAUAAAGUUUCUGUCAAGCAAGAUAAAUAAGCUCUAGAUAUCUGCUGUACAACAUGGUAUCUGUAGUCAACAAUAAUGUAAUGUAUACUUAAAAAUUUAAGAGGGUAGAUCAGUAUUUUUACUACAAUUAAAUUUAAAAUAUGAAAUGAAAUAAAACAAUAAAAAUUAACAGGAAUAUGCAAAGAUAAAACAGCAAUAUCGAUUUCCUUAAAAAUUAUGAUUUUUGUAUUGCAUUGUAAUCUUGCUUGACUAAUUUUUUUUGCCAGUUUUGAUGGAUCCAUUGCAUUCUCUUAAAAUGUAGUAGAAGCUUAUAUUUUUCCUAACUUUUAAAAUACAUAAGGUUAGAAAAGUUUUCUUUAAAAAUUUUUAGAAACAAAGGAAUGAAACUCUAAAUUCAACUCUACUAACCAAUUCAUACCAUCUUAUUACACCCAAAUUCUUUCUUUUCUAUUUCACCUAGUUAAGCCUGAGAAUUAUUGACAGAGACUUCUUAGUAGUUCAAGUAACUUAACUAACCAAAUCAUUUAGAACACAAAUUAAUUCUUUAAGUGUACUGGAAAUAACUUGGCUGUUUUCUUAGCAUGAUACACUGUUGUAACAGGCCAUAUGGAUCAGACUUCUUAACAUUAGCUUGACAUAUAAACAGAGAAGAUACUGUCUAUAUAAAGUAGACACAGUUUUUGAUUUUGAUAUACAAAAUGUCAUCAUAUUUUAAGUGUGUCCUUGUAUUUACCAUGACAUGUUCAUUUAAUACUGUAAGAUGCAACAGUAUUUUGUAUACUGUAUCAGAUUUUAAAAAUGCUAGGAAUUAAAGUAUAGCAAUGCUUUCUGUUUUUACAAUUUUUAUUUUAUCAAUUUUGAAAGAUAACUUUUAGACUAUGCAUAAUUUUAAUGUAUAUUAUUAUUGUUAAUACAUACAAUGGAAGAUAAUAGCAAUUGGUUAUCCUUUGAAUCCUGUUUAAAUUUCGAGCUGGUAACAUCUGUUAUUCCCCCAAAAUACUUUUCAUGCCAUUAUGAGGGUUAGUUUUUAAUACAAAUUUUCUAAAGUAAUCUAUAAAAAAAUGACAAAACCAUUGUUGCUGGUUUUUAAACUGGCUUUGCAAGUCAGUGGAAGUAUUCUACUUUGUACUGUUGCUUUGGGAAUGUUAAAUGGUCUGAUGAUUCCAUCUCCCUAUCAAUAUUGAUAAAAAUUUGGUUCCUAAAAGUUAUUCUUCUCCAGAAUUUCCUCCAGAGCACGGAUAUUUAUUCUGAAAAAAAAAUGACAGUAAAGCUUUUAUUAUUUGUAUAUGAACAAGCAAUGACAACUCAUUCAAGAUUGCCACUAGGCCAACUUAUAUUUUAAGUUGCAAUCACUUUUGAGUCAGAUUCAGAUUUUAGAUAUGUGUGAUGGUUGUGUGUCAAUUUGGCUAGGAUGUGGUGCCCAGUUGUUUGGUCAAACGCUAGUCUAGAUUUUGCUGUAACGGUAUUUUGUAGAUAUGACUAACAUUUAUAAUCAGUUGACUUUAAGUUAAAAAGAUUACCUCCAUAAUGGGAGUAGGCCUCCUCUAAUUAUUUGAAGAGUUUCAAAGCAAAAACUGAGGUUUCCCAGAGAAGACAGAAUGCUGCUGCAAAACUGCGAUGUAGAAAUACUGCCCACAUUUCCAGUCUGCUCACCAGCCCUAUAGGUUUAUGACUCAGGACUACAACAUCAACUUUUUACCUGAAUUUUCAGCCUGCCGUAUAGAUUUCAAACUUGCCGGUUCCCAUAAUUGCAUGAUCUCAUUCCCUAAAAUAAAUCUGUGUGUGUGUGUGUGUGUGUGUGUGUGUGUGUGUGUGAGUGUUUAUGUAUGUGUGUGUAUAAUUUCCAUCCUGGUUGUUAUUAAGUACAAUAUUGAUUGCAAAUUUAUGACAGGAUUUAGGUCCAUGGAAAAAGCCUUAUAAAUUGCAUUUUUAUGUAAUCACGAUGAUAGAAUAACACUGCAAAAAUUUAUAAGAUGGUAAUUUCUGCAGCAAAACAACUUAAAGAACCUCAUGUAUCUUGCUAGUAGUUAUACAUUCUAACCAUGUGAUAAUUUUAUUUUAUAAUCGGUAUUUUGUUGGCUCUGGACACAAUGAAUUGCUGUAAGAUUUUACCUGCAAAGUUUCAGUUUCUGGGAAUGUCUCACAUAGGUUCAGUGUUAAAUGUUAGAUAUUCUCUAACCUGAGCAGGCAUUUGAGGUUGGAGUCUCUAUUCUGUCACUACUGCUACUAUCCACUGGGCCCAACAAUGCCUCUGCUAAGGCUGCUGUAGAUGCUUCCAAGCUUGCAGACUUACAAGGUGCUAAUUUGCCAUUCUGGUCUCUUGUUUCCUCAAUGUGCUGAAGCCUUGAAGCCAUUUUUGGUUUGUCAAGAAGUAUACAAAAUAUUUCUUUUCCUCACUUGAGUUAACACUUUGCUACCUGGAAAAACAUGUAGUACUCCUUGUACCCUCUUUUCUCACAGUUUCUAGUAGAAAUGUCCCAUUUAGCUUAGCCAGCAGCUCACUCUUACCAUAAGGCUCAGAGAAGAAAGGAUACAUCUGAGACAAGUGUCAUCAUGCUGUUUUCUGUUCUGCAUUCUCCCCACAUUCCUUCUUUUUAAAUGAAAUUCUG
rnacentral:lncRNA from 10 species